UACGGGGGGGGCAAGCGUUGUUCGGAAUUACUGGGCGUAAAGGGCUCGUAGGCGGCCAACUAAGUCAGACGUGAAAUCCCCAGGCUCAACCUGGGAACUGCGUCUGAUACUGGAUGGCUUGAAUCCGGGAGAGGGAUGCAGAAUUCCAGGUGUAGCGGUGAAAUGCGUAGAUAUCGGGAGGAACACCAAUUGCGAAGGCAGCUCGCUGGGACGUCACUGACGCUGAGACGCGAAAGCCAGGGGAGCGAACGGG
rnacentral:rRNA from 1 species